AAACAACCUACUGUUUAACCUGCACAUCAAGCAAAACAAUAAUCAGACUUUAAAAUGUGGCCAAAUAUAAUAACAGAAUAUAAGCUCCAUUUCUCUUCUGCUUAAUUCAAUCUUCAAUAUGAUCUGAUUAUGUCACCCAGAACAUCCUCCUUAUAUGUGCAAACUGGGAAGCCACUCAAUGGCUAAAGAAGUUUCUAGAUGCAUAGACAUCUCUCAACAAUUCAUAGACAUCUCUCAACAAUUCACCACGGAGAUCAACUGAUACAUGGUUUAAGGCAAACAACCACAACAGUUGUCCUUCAAAGUCAUGCAUGAUCGGUAGAUUUUAUCAUCUUCCAGAAUUAAUAAAUCAUCAGAAAGGGUAAAGAGAAAAAUAAAAUUUGCAACUGUAAUAACAAUACCUGAAAUAACAAAAAAACAUGUUCCUCAAUCUCUGAUGUACAUUGCAGAGACAGGAGACCAAGUCGUAUCAAGAGCUACUGCAAUAUUUUUCUCAAUAUUAAUGCAGUUUUUAUAGCAAUCAAUUCUCGUGUACAAACACAUCUAUCCUGUCCAUGGAAUACUAAGAAAAAGUUCCAUAUUCCAACAACAGAUUGUUCAAAUCCAUGAUAAUAAAUAUUUUUUCACUGAACAAAGCAAAAGACUAAAAAUUCAGGCCAUGGCAUUCACAUAUAACCAGGAAUUUUCGAAAAAAAAAGAAAAAGUAAUUGGCUAGUGUUAGCAAGGUAAAAAUGGCACUUUCUUUGGUUACAGAAAACUAACCUGCAUUUUCCAGAGGGUGG
rnacentral:misc_RNA from 1 species